CAAUAAACCUCUUUUAAGUGAUAGGGUUAAAACAUCCCAAACAGUUACGUUUAUGUUGAACAAUAUGAAGUCUAAAGCACUAGACAAUAAACAACGUUUCGAGUAAUCUCUGCUAAAUUGUGACAAUUUGUUGUAGUGUACCGAUUAUGUUCAAUGAUAUGGAGAUAACAACUCUUCAGAAACAGUUGCAAUGUAUACUUACCAUCUGUGAAAUGAUUUGCUCUUCUAAUCACGCAUUUGAGCAUUAAUACAUGUGCGUUUUGACAGUUUGACGAACAGUUAAACGCAUUGGUAUUUGUGAGCGAUAUUCAUUAUACACACUUGAAAGUUAGUACUGCGGUAAUGAAAACUGUUCAAGUUUUGAAUGCGGGAAGUAAACUUUUGUUUUGUUAUGUACACAAUUCGACUAAAAAAUUAAUUAUAAUAACAAAGUUCAUAUUGUAUUUUAUAACUUUUUUGUUCAAAAUCAAAAAAAAAAAGAACAAACUUUUGAUCGCUGUGUGAAACGCAUACAUUCUCUGUGGUAAUUUUUUAGCGUGUUUGUUUCGCUUGAGCUGCGCCAGUCAAAAAAAAAAGCCACCACGAGUUGCGAAAAAUAUAUGUUUCAUUUCAAAAUUCGUUUGAAAACUAUAUUUUGUGUGAAAUGGUUAGCUCUGUUCCGGUGUUGGAUUAUUCGAUCGCGAAGCGGCUAUUGCAAAUUCACCCGUUUGCCGUUGCAGUAUCCACCAAACAAUGGAAUUUACUUAAAAUUGGCGUCGGAUGGCAUGCGGGAUUCCGAAAAUGAAUCUAAAAUGUAAGCUGAACCUCCCAUGGCACCAGUCCGUCGAAGCAACACGUAUUCCGGUAAGCUAGUGCCUUUUAACUCGGUCAAGGAUGAUGGAACUUGCCUGGAUUUAACGUUCCUGUUUCCACUUCGUUUUCCGCCGGAGUCGCAGCGCAACUGUAGUACGGGAUCAGUAAAGAAAGGCUGGAUAAUUUCUGGAUCGACAGCAUGUUUCCUUUGGUCCAUGUUCAUCGAAUCAAUGUCUAGUAAAAAUGAAAAUCUAUGCAAACAGAGAAUGUGACAAGAAUAAUUAUUGAAUUGACCAAUUAUAUACCAUUGAAUAAAUAGAUAGUUGAAUUUGCCACUUCAUUUCAAAAAAGAAACAAUGGAACAUAUAGCGCGUUUUUUCUAAUUUCACCUCAAAUAACAUGGUUUUUAACUUACUUAGCCGUACAUGUUUCAUGUGAAGUAAAAUUAGAUAACAUGCACAACUUGUUUCAUUGCACCUUAUAAAUACGAUCGUUUUAAUUUUCCAUUUAGUAUAUUAUUACAAAA